rnacentral:lncRNA from 1 species
UGAGGGACUUGUGGGGAAAUAUUUCCCCGUCCUGAAACGCUGCGUUUCAACCAUGGGCAGCAAUUGGUCUAAGGACCAAAUCGGAAUAGAAGUAAAAUCCACAGGCCAAAAUCUGAGAAAAACAAAAGACCACAUUGAAGCAAAUUGCAAAAGCAGAGGGACCUAUUGCACAAAUAGCCCAUUUCAUGAAAGCACGCGGAUCCCCCUAGAGCGGGUCGGAUCGCGCGCGGGUCAUGGGGCUUAAAC